AUUGAACGCUGGCGGCAUGCUUUACACAUGCAAGUCGAACGGUAACAGGCCGCAAGGUGCUGACGAGUGGCGAACGGGUGAGUAAUGCAUCGGAACGUGCCCAGUCGUGGGGGAUAACUACUCGAAAGAGUAGCUAAUACCGCAUACGAUCUAUGGAUGAAAGCGGGGGACCGUAAGGCCUCGCGCGAUUGGAGCGACCGAUGUCAGAUUAGGUAGUUGGUGGGGUAAAGGCUCACCAAGCCAACGAUCUGUAGCUGGUCUGAGAGGACGACCAGCCACACUGGGACUGAGACACGGCCCAGACUCCUACGGGAGGCAGCAGUGGGGAAUUUUGGACAAUGGGCGCAAGCCUGAUCCAGCAAUGCCGCGUGCAGGAAGAAGGCCUUCGGGUUGUAAACUGCUUUUGUACGGAACGAAACGGCUCUGGUUAAUACCCGGGGCUAAUGACGGUACCGUAAGAAUAAGCACCGGCUAACUACGUG
rnacentral:rRNA from 1 species